GAAUAAAGAGGGCUAUUAUAUCAGUAAAUUUUUUUAUUUGGGAUUAUAUCUAAUAUCAGUAUAUUUUAGUCUUUCCUGUUCAGGUAACCAGAAAUCCUAGAAAAAUACUCUCAUCUCUUGUUGGGGAAUAUAGGCCUAUAAGUGCUCUGGGAUCUGAGUAGAUAAAAAAGGCAGAAUGAAGAAGGCUGGUUCAACACUCACUAUGUAGCUGUCCAUUUACUCCCCCAAUUUUCACUUGGCACCCAGUGAAACUCAACUGCCUUACCCAAUGGGAAAAUACAUCUAACAUCUUCUUCACUGGGGGAGGUUUUGGAUAAUGUAGAAAAUUUAGGAAAAUCAAAUUGCUACAUAAACAGAUUUUCACACAGUCCUUUUUUAAAGUUCUUUCUUUAUCCUGUUUUCUGUAAUACAUGGCAUAAAAUUCCUGGGCAUUUUGGGGAUGGGGUUCUGUGGGGAAAAUUGGAUUGCUUCUUCGCUUUUCCUACUUCUUAUUUAAAAUUCAUCCAUUUUAGGUAAGCAGUUUAGUAUGUGAAUGAGGUAUUGGGAAUUAGCAUAUGAUGAUUUUCUUGAAGUUACAAGUGUUGGUUUGUAUAUGCUUUUAAGAGUCCAAUUUAGGGCCUGGGUUGUGGCUCAGUGGUAGAGCACUUGCCUAACACAUGUGAAGCACUGGGUUUGAUCCUCAGCACCACAUAUAAAUAAAUAAAAUAAAGAUACCGUAUCCCUCUAUAACUAAAAAUAUAUUUUAAAAAAAGAAUCAAAUUUAGGUGUCUAGAGAUUAAGGUGGGUGUAAAUAAACUGAGAAGGAGGUCCUUGUCACAGAUACUGAUACUAACAUUAUAUUGUUUUGCAUACUGUUUAGUUCAAGAACACUGAUAGAAACAAUGAAGAAGCAGAUUCUUACAGAGCAGGAAAAAUGUUUGAAAGAAAAUUCCUUCUAGUUGAGCACAAUAAUAGUGGUAUUUUAAAAACCAGCCAUCUGUAGCUGGGUGAGGUAGAGAAUGCCUAUAAUUCCAGUGACUCAGGAGGCCGAGACAGG
rnacentral:lncRNA from 1 species